CUACUUUAUUAAUAAGGAAACCCUAAGAUACUCUGUUGCGACUGGAAAACUUCGCAGCACACCUAUUUGUUGCGCACAGUGAGGGGAAAAUAAGAGGAGGGAAAGGCUUUCCAAAUUUUCAUGCCGUUGACACAAGCAAUAUUUAAACUAAGUUCCUUACGCUGCAAGUGAUUGAAUUGUUAAAUAAUCUCUUUUAUUUGGAUGACUGGCAGGGUGCCAUCCUUUUGAUAUCUGGGAGGCGGCAUAUCCGAGCCCUCGACGAGAUACGUGGACGCCGCCUUCUUGCGCGCCUCGUCCUGCGAAUAGAGAAGGA